ensembl:lncRNA
AGCCAAGAAGAUAAUUAAGGGCGAGGGAUGAGCUCACCCUGGCUCCCCGGGGCUUGCUGGGGCCCAGCUGGGCCUGCCCUGUGUCAGCCUGGCCCUGUGCCUGCUUCCCUUGGGGCGCUGGGGGGGCUGGCACAGGGAGGGGCCUGCUAGAGAGUGGAGAGGCCUCAUCCAGCCUUGGGGAGACUCCAGCUGGGCCUCCCUGCCCAGCCAGCCCAUGGCUCUUAGGGUUCCAGGCCCAAAAAUGAAAUGAAAACUGCUUGGCCAGAGGGAGGUUCCCCAAAGACUUCUCCACACUGUUCAAGACCCUGCCCUGGGGAGCCCUCCCUGCUCUGUGGCCACUGCCCAGCCCAGGUCUCACCAUAGCAUCUGGUCCCCAGCAGGCUGAGCCCCCUGAGGCUCAGGGUCAGGUCUGUGCUGACUUUGCAGCCCUGCGACAGUGGAUUCUCAGUAAACGCUUCCUGAGAGCAAAGACAUGAGGGCUGGAACCUGGCUCCCCUGCAUGCAGACUACAUCUGCCAGGUGCGGUGCUAGGAGAGGCAGGUACUCCCUGGGCUGGAAUUUCCCAAGAUCUGCCGUCUGGGAGGGGAACGAACACUGGUGACCAUCAUUGUCAAGGCCACGGUGCGUGGACCGCCGACCCUGUGCCCCGCCUCGUGCUGGACACUGUGACCUGGCCCCUCAGCCCCUCACAAGAACCCUUCAGGUUUUCCUGCCCCGCUGUGCAGGCCAGGAGACCUGGAUGCAGAGUGACUUGCUCACGGCCAUGUGCCCAAAGGCAGGAGCCAAGACUGGAACCCAGCUCAGGCAAAGUGUGAGAUCCUGGCUCUUUGGCAUUGAUUUGCUGCCUCUUAAACGCCCUCCAGCAAAAACGGGAAGGGUGGUGGGUGGAGGGGGUAACGGGUGAUGGGAGCCUGGCCCAGCCUCCGGGCCUGGUGGAGAGUCUGGUAUUUCCACCUCGCUGGUCAUCUGGAAAGAGAAAAAACUGGGCCUUGGCGGAAAGGAGCCGCACAUUGAUGUUGGCAGCAGCUAAAUACAUGCAUUUGUCCGUUUUGUCACAAAUGCUGUCAAUACUACCUUUCAAAGCAUAUCUGGGAGUUCCCGUCAUGGCGCAGCAGAAACAAAUCCGACUGGGAAUCCAUGAGGUUGCAGGUUUGAUUCCUGGCCUCACUCAGCGGGUUGAGGAUCUGGCAACGCUGUGAGCUGUGGUGUAAGUGGCGGACAUGGCUCAGAUUGGGCAUUGCUGUGGCUGUGGCUAUGGCCAGCAGCUGUAGCGCUGAUUCGACCCCUAGCCUGGGAACCUCCACAUGUUGCAGGUGUGGUCCUAAAAA